GUGAGUGAGAGUAAAAUUGGAAGCAGUGCAGUGUGGAUCAGAUGAUGAAAUGUAAAUGCUGAAUACCUCCCACGGCACUUUCUCCUCAGAUUCCAGGGUUUCUGAAGAGUCCUUCCCUGUUGGAAGUAUCGCUGAAGGAAAAGACCAAAUCAAUGCAAGGCCGUUGGACUUCAGACUCUCCAUGAUCCACUGCAGGCCUUUGGCUGACUGGACAACCUGCGGGUAGGAUUCAAUGUAUCAACAUACAAUGGGACAUAAGGUGUGUUGCUCGCAUCAUUGUGCAAAGAAGGGGUAAGGACCUGCUCCUCCAGUCGGGCCAGACGCUUAAUCAAGAUGGCAGAGCUAAUCUCCUCUUCCCGCUCCAGCCUCUCGGUUAUGGCGUUGACCCUGGAGAACAUAAAUUGUCGAAAAUGUGACUCACCUUUAUGAAUUUUUAAAACAGUUGUUCUAAGCUCAUCUGCCUGACGGUUCUGAGGUUGUGGGUUCAAAUCUCGGCUCAGGAUUUUUAGUGUUGAGUUUGCCAGUUCUCCCCAUGGAGGGUUAGGUUUAGGCCCACUCAUAAUUCGUAAAUUGGGUUAAAAUUGGUUUAUUCUCAAUUAAAAUUAAAAAAAAGAAUGAAAACGUAAAAACUACACCAGGAAGAUAAAAUGGAUGCAUUGAUUUCAAGA